UACGUAGGGGGCUAGCGUUAUCCGGAAUUACUGGGCGUAAAGGGUGCGUAGGUGGUUUCUUAAGUCAGAGGUGAAAGGCUACGGCUCAACCCCAGUAAGCCUUUGAAACUGGGAAACUUGAGUGCAGGAGAGGAGAGUGGAAUUCCUAGUGUAGCGGUGAAAUGCGUAGAUAUUAGGAGGAACACCAGUUGCGAAGGCGGCUCUCUGGACUGUAACUGACACUGAGGCACGAAAGCGUGGGGAGCAAACAGGAUUAGAUACCCCUGUAGUCCCUGAGCGGG
rnacentral:rRNA from 1 species